rnacentral:ncRNA from 2 species
AGGGAGGGCCGUGACUGGCGCUGAGGUGGAGCACCACCGGGGAGCGGCCCACGCAGAGUCGAAUGCCGUGCGCCUGGGCGAACAGG